rnacentral:rRNA from 1 species
AUUGAAUGCUGGCGGCAGGCUUAACACAUGCAAGUCGAGCGGGGUGAUGGUGCUUGCACUAUCACUUAGCGGCGGACGGGUGAGUAAUGCUUAGGAAUCUGCCUAUUAGUGGGGGACAACAUCUCGAAAGGGAUGCUAAUACCGCAUACGUCCUACGGGAGAAGGCAGGGGAUCACUUGUGACCUUGCGCUAAUAGAUGAGCCUAAGUCGGAUUAGCUAGGUGGUGGGGUAAAGGCCUACCAAGGCGACGAUCUGUAGCGGGUCUGAGAGGAUGAUCCGCCACACUGGGACUGAGACACGGCCCAGACUCCUACGGGAGGCAGCAGUGGGGAAUAUUGGACAAUGGGGGGAACCCUGAUCCAGCCAUGCCGCGUGUGUGAAGAAGGCCUUAUGGUUGUAAAGCACUUUAAGCGAGGAGGAGGCUCUUUUGGUUAAUACCCAAGAUGAGUGGACGUUACUCGCAGAAUAAGCACCGGCUAACUCUGUGCCAGCCGCCGCGGUAA